rnacentral:rRNA from 1 species
GACAGAGGGUGCAAACGUUGUUCGGAAUUACUGGGCGUAAAGCGUGUGUAGGCGGCCAUGUAAGUCGGAUGUGAAAGCCCCGGGCUUAACCCGGGAAGUGCAUUCGAUACUGCGUGGCUUGAGUAUCGGAGAGGUUGGUGGAAUUCUCGGUGUAGAGGUGAAAUUCGUAGAUAUCGAGAAGAACACCUGAGGCGAAGGCGGCUAUCUGGCAGUGUAUUGACGCUGAGGCGCGAAAGCGUGGGGAGCAAACAGG